rnacentral:rRNA from 1 species
GAUGAACGCUGGCGGCGUGCCUAAUACAUGCAAGUCGAGCGAAGCGGGGACGGGUGAGUAACACGUGGAUAACCUCCUAUAUGACGGGGAUAACUUCGGGAAACCGGAGCUAAACCCGAUACUUUUAGAUGGAGGCGCGCUGCAUUAGCUAGUUGGUAAGGUAACGGCUUACCAAGGCCACGAUGCAUAGCCGACCUGAGAGGGUGAUCAGCCACACUGGAACUGAGACACGGUCCAGACUCCUACGGGAGGCAGCAGUAGGGAAUCUUCCACAAUGGGCGCAAGCCUGACGGAGCAAUGCCGCGUGAGUGAUGAAGGCCUUCGGAUCGUAAAGUACUGUUAGUAGGGAGGCGGUACCUACUCAGAAAGCACCGGCUAACUCCGUGCCAGCAGCCGCGGUAAUUC